UUUUAGAGAGUGUGUGGUACACAGUUGUAGAUGGUGAAUGUGGAUUGUUUUCAUAGUUAUGUGUGAACUCGUGUACACGUGUGGUUACAACUGAGCUGAUGUUAUGUGUGGUUUAGCGUUUACUUGGUUUUGGUUGUGUAAAAAUGAUCACCGAAUUUUCAGUUUUUUGGAUCACUGUCCCUUUAAGGCUGCUUAGCGACCACCCGUAUUGCCUUAGCAACUACACGGCAGCAGAUUUGUGACUAUUAAAGUGGCUAACGCUCGCUCGAUGUUUGACUGCCGAAGCUGUAUCAAUUCAAAUGAAUGCAAACGUUACACUUGCCAUUCCUGAAUCCAUCAUUGUGACUGCUCACUCAGGCUUGCCCUGGCUAACCUUCCCAUAAUGCUCCUCUCUGAAGCCAGACUGGAGGCAGAUGUCCCUGUGUACACCUCAAACACUGCCGUGUCAUUACAUUACAAAAAGUCCACUGUCAGCUGCACACACAAUGCUCGUCUCGCUCAUUUAUCAAUUAAAUGAUGCUGCGGACAAAGGAACCGUGCCCAAUGUAGUUUAGUAGCCGCGCUAUAGCGUGCGUGCGUGCGUGUGUGUGUGUGUGUGUGUGUGUGUUAGCACUUGGGAUUUGUUGUUGAAAUGCAGCCGAGGCAAUAGGGAAGUCAAAAAGGAGUCUUAUUGAAUCAGUGGUACUAAAGAGGAGGAAAGGCCUUCACGGGAUCAGGGUUAACUUAAUUAGUGUGUGUGUGUGUGUCUGGGGUGCAAACAGGGAUAAUGGCAGCAUUUGAAUGAGUUCAUGCUUGGCCGGACUUCGCUUGACUUCUGAACAGUGUACGCUGCUAAUCUGUUCUCCAACAGUGUGUCUCUGAGGGUUAAACACAUCAUCCUGUACAAAAGCACAAUGACAUUUCCCCAAAACAAAACAUCUAAGUCACUUUUAUUCUGCUGUGGGGCGGGGCAUAAGAGUGAGUGACAGGUGGUGACUGCUGAAUAAAGACGGCUGGAGAGGGGCAGUGGGUCAUUGCUCAGUUUGUGGGUCAAAGACAUACAUUAAAGCUCUGGGUGAAUGUGAGGUUAAAGAGGUGGAGAUGAUACAGAGGGUGAUUGGCAGCGUGACAGAUGUCAGUCAGAGCUCAAAGGACCGCCCUCACACCUGCUGUACAGACAUGAGAGAAAAGAGAUGUUUGUUACAAGCUAAAAUGCCAAUUCAAACAAAGUAAAUGUGCCAUAUGCGCUGUAUACCGCAUGCAGUUUUAAAAUGUAAUGCAGUAUGCAAUGAUAAACGUUUCAAUCUGGA